UGACGUAAAGGACAUUCAUUGUUCAUAGACUUUCUCAUAUCUAAGUUUCUUUUCAACCCACAAUUAAAAGCCCAUUUUCUCUCUCUCUCUCUUCUUCUUGCCGUCGAAUUAGCAGAUCUCUUUCGCCGAUUAUCUUCUCCGAUCGUCGAUUUUCAGGUGUUUGGUCAAUUAAAUUUAAGAAGAUGACUACUGAUGAGCAAGAUCAAGAUGUCAUUCGGUGGGGUUUGAAUCUUCUUGAUUUUGGCCCUUUGUUCAAUAAUACUUAUGGGAAUGAAUAUAAUUCAGAAGAUGGGAGCAUCUAUCAUGGGCAAUAUAUGAGAGAGUACAACUAUGAUACAUCGUGUAACUCUGGCUGUAACUAUGUAGAAAAUGAUGCAAUAAUCGCGCAUACUCUACAAGAAGAAUUUUCACGAUUGGAAGUUGAUAAUGGAGCUCAGUCCUCACAUGCAGAACAAGAGCAAUUUCAUUCAUCCAAUAUUUCAUCAGACUGGCUUGUACCAUCCUCUACCAAUUACUGUACUGUUAAUGAGAACUCCCAGGAAGCAGAUGAUACAGGACAUUCGAGUUCUUGUUCCAGUCCAGGAGAGAGAUCGAAUGAUGGUGAAGAUCAUUCGUAUUAUUUGGAAUUUGCAGAUGAGUCUGCACUUGAUGGAGAAUUGGGGAAGAGGUUAAACCAAAUGAUCCCUGUGCCACAUGUCCCUCGAAUUAAUGGAGAAAUACCUUCAAUGGAUGAGGCAACUUCAGAUCAUCAAAGACUAUUAGAUAGAUUGCAGUUGUAUGACUUGGUUGAACGCAAGGUCCAAGGGGAUGGCAAUUGCCAGUUUCGUGCUUUGUCAGAUCAAUUCUAUCGUACUCCAGAGCACCACAAAUUUGUGAGGCAACAGGUUGUCAAUCAGCUCAAGUCAGAACCAGAGCACUACGAGGGAUAUGUUCCCAUGGAGUAUGGUGAAUACUUGAACAAGAUGUCCAAGAGUGGUGAAUGGGGAGAUCAUGUCACCUUGCAGGCAGCUGCUGAUUCGUAUGGUGUUAAGAUAUUUCUCAUAACUUCUUUCAAGGACACCUGUUAUAUGGAGAUUAUUCCGAAGGUUCAAAAGUCAAAACGAGUCAUCUUUUUAAGCUUUUGGGCAGAAGUACACUACAACUCGAUCUAUCCACAAGGAGAUGUGGAAAUGCAUUGAAUUGGAGUUUUCAUUCGACAUCUUAUGGUUGUUUAUGAGACUAGAAAUGGAGAGUUGCCACCUCCGUGGGAGAUGAAAAAGAAGAAAAAAUGGUGGCUUUUUGGAAACAAUUGAUGAGAUAGGCAUUUAUACGGAUGCUUUUAACACUUCUAAGUUCUAAUUCAUCUGUAUAUAUGAGUCUAGGGCAGCCAUGCGAGCAGCGCUUCUUCAGUUGCAAUAAUCUCUUAUUCUUUCGUUGUAUUUCUCACUUGCAGCAUUGGCGAAUAUUGUGCAGGUGAUGAGAAUGAGCCUUGAGCACAACAUAUAUAUGGCCUAUAUGGUUGGCGUGCUUUUUGAUUUCGCAUGCCAUUUUAUUUGUUUUCUCCA